UUCUGGGUCUCUGAGUGGGAACUGGUUCCCAUGUUGUGGAUGGAGAUUGUCAUGAGAAGAGUCCACGGGGAAGUCUGAAGCCUGGGUGACUCCUGUUGGAGGCAGACAGAGAUGAGGGCAGGGAAGCCAACCUCUGCAGCCCGGAUGACGGAAAGAAAGUGCGGAGCAUGUAUUUGGACCACCCAGAUGCCCUCUCUUGACCAAGUCCCUAUCAACUUCUGCUCAGAGAGAUGAGCUCGCAGCCGGUCUUGCAGUACCUCUUGUGCUCCUUCCUUGGUCAGAAGAUGGAACUUGCUAGUCCUGGAUGCCGAACAUAGGCUCGCCAGCCUCUGAAGGGAACUGCACUGUCAUCCCUAAGCCAGGAGCCCCCAGAAGCAUCUGGUACUGACAUUCACACCUGAGUGCCUCCCGCAGCUGAAUUCCCCCAGCCCUGGCACACUCCGCUGUGCCCCAUGCACCCAUGGAGGGACCUUUACCAGCUCGCGCUUGUGGCGACUCUGCUGGAUAAUAUGGAGUGGGAGCUCCCGAUGAUGGAGCGCUGUCCCCGGAAACACAGCACUCGGCUGAGGCUUCGCUGCUAUUCUGAGUGAUAAUUGGCUUAACAUCCUUCAGUGUCUAUAUGCUCUGUUCUGCCCGGAGGAAGAGAAGCUGCUUCUGACGGUGAACCAUCCAAUAGCAACUCAUUGCAUAGCUAUGGCCAAGAUCUGCCAGACUUGCCUGGGAUCGGAAGGGGGCUCCUUCGGUACCCUGUUCCUGGACUUGAGAGAACCAUUGGAUAAAAUGCAGGGGCUCUGGGUCAUAAGGUACCAGGCGUUGGUGAAUACCUCUUCUCACCGGCCUCCAGAUUCUAAAGCCUACCUUCACGGCCACCAAAAGGACCACUUCUCACCCUACACUCUGGCCGCUGAGCUCUGGCCAUGUAUCAAGCGUAGGCCAAGCAGAGACGCUACUCCCCUGACAUCCAAGCAACAUGGAUUAGUUUUAGAUUCCGGGCUUCGGGGCUCCAUCUAUUCCUCAUAAGAUUUUCUGGGGUAACCACUAUUACUGUUCCUCUAUUCUCUGAUGAGCUAACUGGCUCAGAAAAAUUACUUAACUAGAGUUUGACAACAAUCUUAAAGUCCUC
rnacentral:sRNA from 1 species